rnacentral:rRNA from 1 species
GACGAACGCUGGCGGCGUGCUUAACACAUGCAAGUCGAACGGAAAGGCCUGCUUUCCCUUGUGGAUUGCGGGUACUCGAGUGGCGAACGGGUGAGUAACACGUGAGUGAUCUGCCCCCAACUUGGGUAUAAGCCUGGGAAACUGGGUCUAAUUCCCGAUAGGACUGCAGGGUGGUGCCUGUGGUGGAAAACGAUUUUCUAGUGGUUGGGGAUGAGCUCGCGGCCUAUCAGCUUGUUGGUGGGGUAAUGGCCUACCAAGGCGGCGACGGGUAGCCGGCCUGGGAGGGUGGACGGCCACAUUGGGACUGGGAACCGGCCCAGACGCCUACGGGAGGCAGGAGUGGGGGAAAUUAGCCAAUGGGCGGAAGCCUGAUGCAGCGACGCCGGGUGGGGGAUGACGGCCUUCGGGUUGUAAACUCCUUUCGACCGCGAGGAAGCCACCUGGUUGGAAGGGUGGUGACGGUAGUGGUAGAAGAAGCACCGGCUAACUACGUG